GCCUCGCCUCAGCGCCCCGGGCUGCGGGGCACCCGGCCGGGAUCGCGCUGCGUGCUGGGCUCCGUCGGGCAGCGACGUCUCGGUGAGCGGAGGGACAACGGUUCCGCGCGGAACUUCGUGGGGCUAAAAGCUCAGAAGUCCUCAAAACGCAGAGCGAGACGUUGUUACCACAGAUGACGCUGUGAGGUACGCCAAGGAGAGCGCACAGGGAGAACAAAAGGACCCAGGGCUCACCCUUACCUUCAGACAGCUUUGUUUUGUUGCUUAUGAUGAAGAGGAGGAAGAAAAAAAGAGGAGGUAGUGGCCACACACCGACCUUUCACUGUCAAUACCGAAGGAGAUAUGAGGCUCAUCCUGGCUGCUUUGCUCAGCUCAGCCCACACCUAACACCCAGGAUGGCAGUGCGAUACUACUGCAGGGAGGCCACCAGGUGUAGGAGCAGGCCAUCACUGCUUCACACAUUUCUGCUCAAUGAUCGUGGAGGAAGAUACACAAGCAGCUCUUUUGAAGCACUGCAUUAUUGUAAUUUUUCUGAGUAAAGCUUUGAAUGACUGCUGACUUAAU
rnacentral:lncRNA from 7 species